CUCUCUUUUCUCUUCUGCUCGGCCUGACUAGACAUCUCGCAUCAGCAUUAGAAUGUCCACUCAGACAUAAGACAUCAUUGCAGUAUAAGGAGACAUUCAUGGAGACAUCUUUAAGUGAAUGAGAAAGGAUACUGAAAGCCUGUUGCCACGUCUCCCCUGAGCCUUCUCUAGGCUGAAUAUCCCCAGCUCUCUCAGCCUGUCCUCAUAGGGGAGGUGCUCCAUCCCUUGAAGCAUUUUUGUGGCCCUCUUCUGGACAUGCUCCAACAGAUCCAUGUCUCUCCUGUAGGGAGGACUUCACAUCAAGAUGCAGUACUCCAGGUGAAGUCUCACCAGCGUGGAACAGAGGGGCAGGAUUACCUCCCUCAACCUGAUGACCAUGUUUCUUUUUAACUUGGAGUAAUUAUUUUCAAAAUUUUUAAUUCCUAUUGUUACACUGACACUUUUCUAAAAAUCUACACUAUUCUAGGGAAAUUUGACUUUGUUUUUUUUCAGAGAUAAUCACCUCCUUAAAAUACAAUACAGUUUUCUUUUUAUGAGUCCAGUAAGGCUGGAAAAAGAAAGAAGACCUCAUAUGCAGUCAUCUUUCAGAUUUUUGAUAGAGUCUACUGAAAUAUACAGUAUAUGUUUUGGUAAUGUGAAGUAUUUGUAAGAUUAUACAUAAUUUAGGAUUAAAAAAAUUAACUAAAGC
ensembl:lncRNA